UGGGGAAUAUUGCACAAUGGGCGAAAGCCUGAUGCAGCGACGCCGCGUGCGGGAUGAAGGCCUUCGGGUUGUAAACCGCUUUUGAUUGGGAGCAAGCGAGAGUGAGUGUACCUUUCGAAUAAGCACCGGCUAACUACGUGCCAGCAGCCGCGGUAAUACGUAGGGUGCAAGCGUUAUCCGGAAUUAUUGGGCGUAAAGAGCUCGUAGGCGGUUUGUCGCGUCUGGUGUGAAAGUCCAUCGCUUAACGGUGGAUCUGCGCCGGGUACGGGCAGGCUAGAGUGCGACAGGGGAGACUGGAAUUCCCGGUGUAACGGUGGAAUGUGUAGAUAUCGGGAAGAACACCAAUGGCGAAGGCAGGUCUCUGGGUCGUCACUGACGCUGAGGAGCGAAAGCGUGGGGAGCGAACAGGAUUAGAUACCCUGGUAGUCCACGCCGUAAACGGUGGAUGCUGGAUGUGGGGCCCAUUCCACGGGUUCCGUGUCGGAGCUAACGCGUAAGCAUCCCGCCUGGGGAGUACGGCC
rnacentral:rRNA from 1 species